CGCGUCCGUCUCGUGGACGCCGCUGCCCAUCCAAGCCCACUCCGGUUACUCUGGCGCCGUGCGGCAGUCCGGCCGGUCCGGGCAGCCGCAUAGCCGACAGCCGUCGCAUCCCAGGGAGCCCUUACAUG
rnacentral:sRNA from 23 species